GUUAGUAAUUAAUCCUCGUUUCGAGAUUCCACACUGUAAACGGAAACCCUGGGUCCACGUUCUUAUUUGCAUAUUUAUUGGUUCAAAUUAGUAUUUCAUGUGACCUGUUUUAAUAACUACAGAUCCGUUUAAAAAUAUCGCCAAUUUUGAAUACUAAACAGCGCGGACGUUUCUGCAGCCGUCGACAGCAUGGAUAUUUACUGUAGUGAGGGAUGCAAAUGGCACUGAUUUCAUGGAAUGACCCGUUUACAACUGUGGCGACGAGCGCUUAUCAGGAUCAACUAGACACUGGAUUUUCAAAAAUUUGAAUUAUGUCGAUUUUCACAUGCUGAGCCAAGACUGAAGUAGCCAAGGCAGAAGAAAUGUGCCAAAAAAAACAGAAACUUGAUAUUGAAGACCAUUCAACAAAACAAAACACUGUCAGUCUUCAAAUGGCUUAUUUUGUUAAUGGCUUUAAUGAUCAAAUAUUUCGAGUAUUUUGUCACGUCUAGUUCAUGUUUCCAAAUUUUUUAUCUGGUAGAUGAGGACUUUCCGAAAGUUAUGUUGAAAUCUGAGACGUUAAAGGGAAUUCUGCGUCAGCGGUGCUACUCAGCUGUUCAUUUUCUCUUUGUAUUGUGUCAUGAAUGUCUAGUCUUUCUGCUGUAUUUUAUUAGGUGUUGCUAUCUGCAUGACAGUAAGGUGACAUCUGCAUCAAACAUGUACUGUGCUGUUUGUCAUUCAGCCGCACCCCUCUUGCUCACAAGAACAAUAGCAGUGACAAAGAACAUCAUCACAGUACACCAGAAUCGCUCUGAUUUCAAAUAUGAGCAUUCAUGACCACUGGAGGAAGCAGUCAAUGAAU